UUUCACAAGAUUGCCAUGACUUUAACGUUGUUCUGUCAAGCUGUGACAGGUUGCAUUUUGAAAAUUUAUCGAAUUGAAUUCGUCGCAUCUCAUUGAAAAUCAAAGAAAAACAGUGCCAAAUGGUCGUGUGUGAAUAGUGUGAGGUGUAUUUUUGUGUUUUGCAAGUGCUGCGAGUAUUUUUUGUGCAAAUUUCCCAUUUCCAAUAAUCUCAUGACGCCGCGGUACUGGUGACCGUGCCAUCGGCCGCCGAGAAAUAUGCAAAUUUCGUUUGAAAAUACCAUUUGGCCCACAUUUCACACUUAAAACAGGUACGAGGGGAUUCUUAGAGUAGAAUGGGAGCCCAGAGGGCUCCCGCAUGACGUGAGGGGGCCGAAGGCCCCCAAGCGUCACGUAUAAGUCGCGACCGUCGCGAAAUGUGGAAUUAUUAUUCGUCGAAAAUGCGAUUUGGCCAGAUUUGCUUGCUCGAAACAGGUCCAAGAUUAUUUACAGAGUGUUGUUUAUGCUCCUAGAGCCCCCAUACACAUGAAUUUAUCAAAGAAAUUGUUUAGUAAAUUAUCGAAAAUAUCAAUAUAAAAGGUUGGCAGUGAAAUGACGUCAUCAGACACGUGGCGUAAACAUUGGCGUUCGCUGUAACGUAAAAAUCGGGUUGAAAUUGGUUGCGAUUAACUAAAAAGUGGAGAAGUGAAUGGUGUAAAGUGCAAUUAUAUCAAGUUUUUCAAGUCCAGUGAGUGUUUUUUGUGAAAAUUUUAGGCAGGUACAACCGGCGUUUCCGCAGCCAGCCGAAUUAUCUGGAAUUUUCCGUGCAAAAUCCGUACGCGCUCGAAACAGAUCCAAGAUGAUUUGUAAAGUGUUGUUUGUGCCUCAAGAACCCCCAUUUAUAGGAAUUUGCAAAAGAAAUGUUUAAAAAGUAAAAAUAUGGUAAUUUUAAUUACGAUAUUUGGCAGCACUAACAAUGACAGAUCCAAGUGUUGGUUAACGUGAUCAAGAUAUCAACAUAACCUCAAAAAACAACAUGAAAAGUCUAAGAAAAGCGAUGACAGUUGGGUUGUAUUUGGUUUAGAUGGUGGUGGUGUUUUUUGGGUCAGCGGAUGGUCUAAAAAUGUAAUUUCGAAGAAAAUCGAACGAAAACUGUGAGAAUUGGCCCUGGGUGGUUGAAAACGCGCGAAUUUGGGGGACGUAUUUUGUGAAAUUGGCAUUGCAUGUCUAACGAGCUGCGUUGGCGGGACUUAACGCCACCCGCAUGCCACCCCUCGCCGCUAGAUUUACACUCGAAACGGGAACUUGGUGAUUUGAAUAAAAGUUCUAAUAAGAGUACCAAUGCGCAGUCUUUGAUUGAAACAAAGACUGUGCAUUGGUAC